CUCGUAAACAUCCUCAAACAAAAAUGCAAAACCAUAAAAGGAAUCCAACAAGUUCAUGCCCAAGCCAUUUCAAGAGGCCUCCUUUCGCUCCACCCCACUCCCCUCUUCACUCAAAUCCUCCAUUCAUGCACUUCUUUACAAAUUUCAUCCAUUCAAUACAUCUCGAAAGUUUUCAAUCUCAUUCCCAAUCCUUCAACUUUCCAUUAUAAUAUCAUGAUCCGGGCAUGUUCUAUACUCUUUACCCCACACACUGGCUUGAUGUUUUUCAUCAAAAUGCGCCAAGAAUCAAUCCCACUUGAUUUUCAUACUUACCCUUUUGUUAUAAAAGCUUGUGGUUGUUUGCAGAAUGGGCUUUCACUUGCCAAAACCAUUCAUUCUGAAGCAGUUAAAUAUGGGUUCUCGGAUGAUGUUUUUGUAUGCAAUUCACUUGCAUGUAUAUACUGUAAAAAUGGGGAAAUUGAGCUUGCAUACAAACUCUUCGAUGAAAGUUUGUAUAGAGAUGUGGUUACUUAUAAUGUGAUGAUUGACGGGUU
rnacentral:lncRNA from 1 species